rnacentral:rRNA from 1 species
AGUGCAGGCGGACCGGCAAGUUGGAAGUGAAAACUAUGGGCCCAACCCAUAAAUUGCUUUCAAAACUGCUGGCCUUGAGUAGUGCAGAGGUAGGUGGAAUUCCCGGUGUAGCGGUGGAAUGCGUAGAUAUCGGGAGGAACACCAGUGGCGAAGGCGACCUACUGGGCACCAACUGACGCUGAGGCUCGAAAGCAUGGGUAGCAAACA